GUGAAAUAAUUUGCUGCGAGUUAAACCCUGUGACCCUGAGAAGCCACGCCCGCCCAACCUUCUUUCUUUCUCCUCUUCUUCUCUGAAACCCAGCCCAGCCCGCAGACCUCCACACCAACCUUCCGUCCGUCCGUUCCUACCGCCGGCGACCACCGUCGCUAACACUCCCUCCUCCCUUCUUCCUUUUCUUUCUUCCCUAUUUCUCCAUUUCUUUCCUCCUGUACGCAACACCCCUGUUCGUGGCGCCACCUUUGUCUGCACCUUCCAGUUCCGGUGAAAACCACCAGCGGCGGCGAAACUCUGUGCCGCUACGACACUACCUCCGCUCCUUACGCUAUCUUCUUUUUUCACUCCUCAACGCAGUUGUUGAACAUAAAUGAUCAUAUACUCUUGUCCCCUUGAACCGAAGCACAAGCAGUCACCAAGAAACGUGGAAUGGUAAGAUUGUAUUCCAUUCAUUACGAUUAAUCACAUGAAACCUUACCAGUUACCAAUUAUGAACGCGAGUGUGAUUCAGAAGAGAGACGAGAGGAUGUUUCGGUUGAGUAAGAACAAGGCUUCUUCGAAAUCUGCAGCUGAUACAAGAUUUGAGUUCUGAUUCUCUCAUUUUAAGGCUCUUCAGGUACCCAAGGGAUGGGAAGCUGCUUGUUUCUGUUGUUUCAGUAGAAAGUAGUAAAGCUAUUGCAAAGUCAAGCAAGGUGCUAGUGCAAAAUGGGAGUUGUGAUUCUUUUUCAGAAUUUGUAUUGUUUCCAGGAGAUAAUUCUUCCAAGGAGAUUGAUGAAUGUCUCCUCAAGCUUAUUGUUGCCAUGGUGCUGAUACUAUUGCUGUUUGCUUUUCCUAUUGUGUAUACUCUACUUUGUAGUUAAGAUGUUUCUUUAUCAGUUAGAAGUUUGUUUGAAUUAUGAUGUGGCUUAACAGGGACCAUCAAGGUCUAGUAUCCUUGGAGAGGUCACUGUUAAUAUGGCAAGUUAUGUGAGUUCAAAUGCUGAAUCUUCACUUUCACUCAAGCUGGGUAAGUGGCAACCAUGGGACAGUUUUACAUGUAAGAUAUACAAAUAAAGUUGUCUUACUUUUAUUGAGUGUAGAAACCUGGAUGGUUGUGUUACUGUGGUUGGUUACGCUCGGAUUUAAUUGUAGUCAUGUUUGGGAGAAAAGUAACAUUGGAAAUCUGGAAUAUAUUGCUGAGUAUUGAAUGUAUCUUAUUAAUUCCAAUUACUCUUGUUAAUCGACAACUUGUUUUCUUUGGGUAAUCUCUGUUCAUUCAAGCGGUAUUCACUGUGAUUUUACUCUCUGAUAUACAAUGUUGCAUAGGAUCAUAUGGAAUUAUAUUUCUGCCCAAAGUUUUAUGACUUGUAUUCAAUUGAAGUCUUAGCCACCAGAUUGCCAACAGUUAUUGCUGGUUCAUACAGUUACAUAAUACCAAUCAUUUCAAUAGUUCAAGCUAAAAGAUAUGAUUUAUAUACAGAUCCUUAUGAGGUUAAUGUCAUUUUUCUUU